rnacentral:lncRNA from 1 species
GCUCACCUAAGGUAUCAGCCAGGACAUGCUGGAGGAGGCCUCAGAUGUAGCCAUCUGCCUCCAAAGCCCUUGACCUAGAGCAAGUACAAUGCCAAAACCAAGGAGUGUGGCUGGAAGGCAAAAGGCCCGAGGGGAGGCUGCCAUGCAAGAUGAGGCUGGCGCUGUUGCCAUAACCAGAGCUCAAGAAAGGAAAGCUGUCCAAAGAAACUGCAUUCAGCCAGAAAGGGAAUUUAUAGGGAUUUGAGGGGACGGAGCCAUUCUGAAGACAAAGCAGAAAUUCUGAUAAAAGAUCCCAAAACAUAGUUUCAAGCUAUCUGGGAUGUGGGGUUUAGGAAAACAGGCCAUGGGUGGUCUUGGUACGGGAGCAAGCACAAAACUGUCUGGGAAAUGUCCCUGAGGAAGGCCACUGUGUCUUCGGGCCAUGAGCAGAGCUUUCCUGCUUUGGGCGAAUGGAGUCUGGGGACAAGUUGAUGACAAUGGAGGGCUGAAGACAGCUUGGGAAUUAGUCUUUCCGAGAUAACUACUGGGUGGGGCAGAUUGUGUGGUCCCGGUCCAAGCCACACAGGAAGCCCACACUGGCUUCUGAGCAGGAGUGUAACAAAAGCCAGAUGACACUGGAAAGACACGUUGGCUGCGUGGUGACCACAGAGGACAGGGUGAGGACGGUGGCAAUGGCAGCCACACAGCAGAGCACCUGGGGUGAGACUGGACCGAGCCAGGAAGAGGCAGGGACUGGCUCUGAAGGCCGAGGGAGGGUUCACAGGAGGGUGGGGAGUGGGCAGGAAGCUGACAUCCAUGGUGACGCAGGGUGGGGCAGGUGGGAGAAAGGUGAAAGAAGAACAGAAGGUCACUUUGGGAUGUAAGUUUGAGACCUUGCUGCUAAGUGAGGCCAAAAAAUUAAAAGAUUUUUAAAAUCUGCUGGUAGCUGGAGAAGGACCCGAGACGUGCAGAUGGGAGUUGUGGCAGUAGUGGCCAUCUUGAGGGACAGACACCGGGAGAAAACGAGUGAUGCGUGCAAGGAGGGGCAUCGCUGAGCCCACACAAGACUCAAGAUGGAUGAGACAGAGGCGGCCUCAGGUGCCUGCAGGUGGAGAGAGAAGCACUGGGAAGCCUGAAGGAGCAUGAGAAAGACUGUUGCUGUAAGACACGGCGCUAUCUAUGGCCUGAAUAUUUGUUAUCUGUUGAAAUCCUAACCCCGAAGGCGAGGACACAGAUGCCAUCUUGAACCAGGAAGUGGCCACACCAGACACGGAAUCUGCCAGCACCUGGUUCCUGCACUUCCCAACCUCCAGAUCUGUGAGAAAUAAAUUUCUGUUGUUUACAGCCAUCCACUCUGUGCUUCAGAGACCUGAACAGACUAAGACAGAUGGUGAGCAGCGCUCUAUAAAGGUGGUGAUUAUAAAGUGAAAUUAAACAUUAUAUAUAAAAAUCCAUGACUGGCUGGGUGCAGUGGUUCACACCUGUAAUCCCAACA